UGCGGGAGAACGGCGGGCUGGGAUUCGCAACGCCGUGGUGUAAUCAGCGCGGCAUCUCGCGCGGGAAGGCGGCGGCCCCUCAGGCGUGGUUCUUACAAGGGAUGCCUGGGGUUGGUCCUGAAGAGACCACCUGGCCGGCCAAGCCGAGGGAGGCGCCGAGCAGCGCUGUUCCUCCUCCCGACGGCAAACGGUCCCCACGCAGGGGUCCCUGCACUUUGGGAGGCCGAGGCUGGAGGGUCACUUGAGCCCAGGAGUUCCAGACCAGCCUGGGCAACAUAGCGAGACCCCAGGAGUUCCAGACCAGCCUGGGCAACAUAGCGAGACCCCAUCUCUUUUUUUUUUUUUUGAGAUAGAGUCUUGCUCUGUCUCUUAGGCUGGCCCGUAGUGGCACUGUCCGGCUCACUGCAACCCCCUGUUCCCGGGUUCAAGCGAUUCUCCUGCCUCAGCCUCCCAGGGAGCUGGGAUUACAGGUGCCCGCCACAAUGCCUGGCUAAUUGUUAUUUCUUAGCAGACACAGGGCUUCACCAUGUUGGCCCAGGCUGAUCUCGAACUCCUGACCUGAGGUGAUCCGCCCGCCUCAGCCUCCCAAAGUGCUGGGAUUACAGACAUGAGCCACAGUGCCCGGCUGAGACCCUAUCUCUCUCUCUUUUUUUUUUUUUUUUGAGACGGAGUUUCGCUCUUGUUACCCAGGCUGGAGUGCAAUGGCACGAUCUCGGCUCACCGCAACCUCCGCCUCCUGGGUUCAGGCAAUUCUCCUGCCUCAGCCUCCCGAGUAGCUGGGAUUACAGGCACGCGCCACCAUGCCCAGCUAAUUUUUUGUACUUUUAGUAGAGUCGGGGUUUCACCAUGUUGACCAGGAUGGUCUCGAUCUCUUGACCUCGUGAUCCACCCGCCUCGGCCUCCCAAAGGGCUGGGAUUACAGGCGUCAGCCACGGCGCCCGGCCGAGACCCUAUCUCUUAAACAGCCUGGGGGGCAGAGAGAGACCCUGUCGCAGAACAGGCUGUUUUCUUACGAACAUAAGAAUUCGUGAAAGGAGUGGCUGGGGGAAGCUGAUGUGCCUCAAAGCCCUGGGGAAGUAGAGACCGGGGAGGACCCCAGAGGCCGCCUCCUCAUCCCCUAGCGGUGGCCUUGGAACCAGGGAAGGGAUUCAGCCCAAGGGCCUGUUCCCCGGCAGCUGGCUUUGUGUUGAUUGCUUAGGUCACCACAUUCAGCACCACAAAUGCUCUGCGGUGUGACCUGAGGCACAGAGUGGGGCCUGGAUUCAUGAGCUGGGUAUGGAGCAGGAAUGAGAAUUCAGAAUCCUUGAAACCACUCCCCCCACCACCACCACCACAAAGACUCCUGCACAGCCUGACUCAGACACGUUGCAAUCUGCUGGCCGAAGGCAAUGGUGUGGACCAGAGACAGGUCAGCCCGUCGGGAGGGUGCACAGGCAGAGAGUCAUCCUCAAGCAGAGCCUCAGGAGGAGGCUGGCUGAUGGAGCCAGAGAGACCCGGUGUAAGCCAGGACCCUGUUAGGAACCCUAUUCUCCUCCCAUCCUGGCCGUGCCUGGACCACAGCAAGCGCUGCACGUCUGAAUCUCAAAGAAACAAUUCAACAUGUGUAAAUGACUCUGACUGCCCUCCAUGGGAAGCAGAUCGUGCCUUCAGUAUUUCUCAACUCCUGACUGGGAAUCACAGGGUUGCCAGGCUGGAAACCUGGACACCUGGGGCCGGAACCCUUCCCUUGGAGCUCUCCCGGGUUUGCUUUCAGAGAUCAAGCCCAGUCUGGCACGAUCAGGCACCCUUGGGAUUCACCGCCUUUAUAGUUACCCUAAAAU